UACACACCGCCCGUCACGCCAUGAGAGUUGUUUGUACCCAAAAACAUCUUAGCUAACCUUAACGGAGGCGGAUGUCUAAGGUAUGAAUAAUGAUUGGGGCG
rnacentral:rRNA from 1 species